UCUCUUAUAAUCAGCGAUGUUGAGCAUUUUUUCAUGUGUUUGCUGGCCAUCUGGGAACUUCUGUAUGCUGCACAUGUAGCCCUAUAAAUCCUCCCUCCAAAAGCAAGCAGGUAAAAACUGAUUGCUUGAUUUGAAUUUGGCCCAGGAAAUGAACAAAAACAUCUCUGGAUGAAAGGACCCUAAACUCACUCCUGCUUCUUUAUCUGCAUGACUUUGCCCACUGACCAACUGGAUCUUCUCAUAAAUUCUAACUGCAGAGAGUCUCUAAUGCAGCAGGCUUUUCAAACUCAAGAAGUGGCCCUCCUAUGGCUUUGAACAUGUGAUAUUCUUAACCACUUGUUUCUGCUCUGUGUUCAGAUGCUGAGCUCCCAGUCCAGGCUUUAAGGGUGAUGGUCCUGUUUGCUGUCAUCUGGUUUGAAUUCAUUAGGAUCUGAAUAUUUGUCACAAAGAGACAUGAAACAUAUUUCGGGGUCAUGACUGUGUCUUGGGCAGUUGACUGUUUGGAAAAUGUGUGGUGUCUUCUCACUGCUAACAGGGGAGUUUCUGUAACAAAGUUGUGUACUUGUAGCUUCAGGGGCUCAGUCCCAUCAAAGCUUCUAAUUGGAGCCCCACCUCCUGUGUCUAACCUUCCUCCUUACACUCAUCUUUUCUGGGCCACCUGUUUGCUCCCUCUUUAAGACAUCUAGAGUCAAUCUAGAACCUUCUCUGCCCCACAGGAGGAAACAGUGCAGGGAACAGUAACUGAACAUCAAGGCUUUGCUUUUUGUGUGUUUUCCACAGUCGCAUCAGCCACACAAAAAUCACAGUGGGGAAUCCCUCACCAGAAGGGCUGUGCUUCCUUCCCAGAUCCUUCAGUUCUCCAAGGAAGAGCUUCCUGCUCCGAAUCCAACAUCCAGAAUGGGAUCUCUUGCUUCCUGUUAAAGAAUCUCUUCUCUCAUGAAGAAAAUGGCUACGGGAACAAAAAUGGCUCCAAAUGAAGCCAUUCUGGUGACAAAGACGAUAAUGAGGACUCAAAAUGGCACAAAAUCAAUUUAUUCUCAUGACAACCUUAAGAUUGUAAUGAGGACAAGAAAAACAGUCUGAAAUUUAUCAAUUCUUGUGACAACCUUGAGACAGUAAUGAAAGUGGAAAAUGGUAUGAAAUUGGCCCACUCUUCUGACAGACGGUGAAACCAAACCCGGGAAACAGCACCAGGUUUAUCUACCCCUUGGCAACCCUGGGGGCUGGAACAAGAACAGACAAGGUGACGAGAUUAACCCAUUCCUGUCAACAAUCCUCUUAAAAGUGGGUGGUCCUUAUUCUUUGUGUUGUAUGAAAAGACUGAGCCCUGAUCUUACAGACUAGGCAGCGUGGCUGUCAUUCGAUGUCGGCUGGUGUUUGGGGACCUCAAAGUGCUCUGGCAAUCCGGACAUCCUUAAGAGGACUCAGACGUGGUGGAGGACUUGACAUAGUGGUACAGACUCUCAUUCUGGAAAAGUCCAUUAGGACUAAAAGUGAAGAAAGAGGUGGAGGAUGGAGGUAACUUUCUCAACUCAGCGAAACACAGAUAUUACAGCCUUAGAACAGUGGAGUUUAGGGGCCUCUGUUCUCUAACGUAACUUUUCCUGUCUCCAGAGGAACUCACAGAUAUUCUCACUGACAUUCACAGCACUGAGGGAGAGGGAUGCACCAGCGGGAUGGGCAUCUAUGACAGGGCUUCUCAAUGGCUUGGAACCACAUGGGUGCUUGUUAUGAUCAGCUUGUCUGCACGUGGGGGCCAGGAACAUGCUUUUGGACAAGGGCAUGCCAUUCUUGAAGGCAUGGACAUUUAAGAAGCAUGAUUUACUGUGGGCGGAGGUGCUGGUUUGAAGAAUCUGGAUUUAUGAUUCCUAAUGAGAGGCCCCACUCACUCCUUCCUUUUUGUGAAAGCAGCUAUGUUCCACGGAUGAAUUCGCAGUGGGAGGCCAAGUUUUGAUGUCAAUUCACGUGCCAGUCAGCUUUCACCAGGCUUAUAAUAAUUAUUGAUGAGUGAUUGAAUGACAGUGACUAGGAAUAAUGGCUUGCUUUGCUUGGCUGGCAACUCUGAGAUAAUAUCCAGAUCAAGCCCCUCCAGAAGCAUUCAUGGUUUCCAUGACAAGAAUUGCAGCACCAGAGAUGAGACAGAGAUGCACAUUUCUUAAACAAUUGUGUGCUAGGCCGAAUUCUACUGUUUCCUACCAGUUUCUACAUCUUCUUCCACAUCUCUUGCUGGCGGCAGACUUCUUGCAAUUUUUGCAGUGCUCAAGGCACUGGAUCUAAGGUGUGAGAUUUUGGCAAAGGCUCUGGGUUGGGAGUUUUUCAUCCUCACCCUGGUUUGGAAUGAGUUGGUCACUGGUUGACUGUAUUAGUAUUUAUUUCAUGUUGUGUCCCCAGCCCUCUCUCUGGAUUCCUCUUUGUAUCAGUGGCCUUAAAGGUCUGAAUAUUUUCAGUGAAGUUGGAGGUCAGGCCAUUGCUGAAGGAGCUACCCCAGGCGUGGGUAGAGAGAAAUCUAUAAGGAUUGCUCUCAGGUCAAUGUGAAUUCUGUCAUCUGACAAGUGUGCAUGAUUGUGUAUUUUCUUCUAACAAUUCUAGGUGGCCCAGGAGCCUGGAAAUUGGAUACAAGGUUGGGAAUUUUCAGAUCAAUGUCAGCAGACUUGCAAGAGGUUGCAGGAGUGUAGGUGGUGGAGGAGGCAGCUUUCCAGGAGGUAACCUCAACUUGGAGGCCAGCAAGGUCAGGAGGCUAAUAGUUUGGUUGAGGUGGGAGGGGUUGAGUGAUGGGUAAGGACAGGGUUUCUUCCUGUUUGUUAGGCUGGCAGAGAGAGAGCAAGAGAGAAAGAGAACAGGAUCAACAUGCAAAUAUAAUAUUAAAUGCAAGGCAAUCAUUAAAUCACUGCUUGGUGUCCCCUUUUUUAGCCUAAAUUAUCUUUUGUGUCUUUGAACCUUUGUUCGAGGAACCCAGCUCCUUCUUAAUCAUCUUUGUCACUCUUUUCUGCACCCUUUCCAGGUUUCCUCUAAGUUCAGAAGUGUUACCUCAUUUCUUUUCACAGCAUAGCCAUGAGGUAACUAAGGGUCAUUGCUAAGCUCAGAUUUACAGAUUGGGUGAGAGCGAGGCACAGGAUGUUAGACAAUUUACUCAAGGUCAAAUUGCAAGGUCAGGGCCAGCCUCCCAUUCUGUCCCACAGGCUCCCUCUCCCUCUUCUUCUCCGGACAGCCAGAGCAGUUACUCAAUUUCAAAACUCCUUUGAAAGGACUUUUGGUUUGUUCCAUUCAGAAUUUUAUUUGUAAAACGUUAAAUAAAAAUGUAGAAAGUGCUUUCACGUGGCUGCAUGCCCCUGUUUCUUCUCAGUGCACAUAUGUAGGCUAUGUUUACACAUAUAAUCACUUUACGUGCACACACACACACACACACACACACACACUUUGUGAGCCAGGUCAGUCAAACAAAUGGCUAAUUUUUAAAUUUGGAGUUAGUAAAUGACUCCUAGUGAAUUUUGAUGGCCAAGUGAUUCUUUGCACACGGGUUGGUGUGUGUAGUUUAGGAGAGCCCUAGAAAAGGUACUAAGUCUGAGCAGGGCAGGGUCAUAUCCAAUUUUAGACCUGAACACAAUCUAGAAGAGUUGAAGGCCCCACUUCAUUAGCAUAUUAGAUAUGCCUUUCUCCCAAAAUUCUUUCUUAAAGCUUUCUAAUCCAGGAUGCACAUGUCAAAGUAGAAAAUAACCAGAGAAUUGUCCAGACUUUUUCCCUGUUAUGAAACGUUGCUGUCUUGGAAACUGCAUGGCAUGGAGCAAGUUGUCAGGCCUGCAUCCUGUGGGGUUUACAGCAGUGAUGUGUUGUCAAAAUGGGCUUUGCUAGAGCUAAGUGCCCAUGUCCAAUAUAAUCCCUAGUACACAGGUGAUACUCAAUGAACUGUUAAGAAAUACUUAGCCCACAUUCAUCUGUUGUGUCUCAGUGGGUGGAAGCCACAUACUUUUUUGGGUGUUUGAGGGAUUCUUUGCCUAAAAUUUCUCUCCCUGACUCUUUCGUGAGCUCUGCCAGGGAAGGCAGAUUUCUGCUUUGCCUGCCAUUGUACCCCUGCGCUGAGCACCCAGCCCUGCACCUAACAAAUUCUCAACAAAUGUUUGUUCUGUGGAUUAAUUCUUGAGUGAAAGAACACAUGAGCCUAUUUCACAUCUUUUUCAAAUCUGGGGAGGAAAGCACAUCUUUGCCUAAAAUGCUCUGCCCACGCUGGACAUGCUGGACCAAGAAGAAGAUGAAAAAAGAGGAGGAAGAGGGAGGGAGAGGGGAGGAGAGAGUUACUGCUCUGCGUUUUGUCAUGUUCACCAGAUGGGACCAGUGGAGCUGAGUGGUCCCUUGGGUGAGGGUGUGGUGAGGGAAGGAGAGAGGACAGGGCAGCCAAAGGCUGCAUAUUGAGGGGAUGGCUCCAGGAUGUUGCAGUGGAUCUUGAGAGCUGGUGGGGCAGAGGUGAGCUGUGCAUGAGUGUGAGCUGGGGUAGAAGGGAUGGAGGAAGAGAACGUUUUAGGCAGGAGGACGGGCAGAAGCAAAGCGGAGGCAGCAGAAAUGCCCUCGAGGCUGUAGUCAGACUCACAGCUCAGACAGCCCUGCCCUCCCGGAUUGCCUCUUGCUGUCCCUUCCGGCUCUGGUCAGCACUCCUCCCUUCCUGCAUCGUGCUUUGCUCUAAUCAAACCUAAGCCCCUGUCCUUUAAUUGUUCCCAAGUCCUAUGGUGGUGGCGCACUGCCUUGUCCUACACACGUCUCCUCCUCCAAGUGCCCAGCCCUUUCUGUGUCUUGGCAGUUCCUGCUCACCCUUUCAGACUGGGCCUGGGCUCCUUUGAGAUGUCACCUCUGACCCCCACCCCCCACCGUAUCUGGUUUAAAUCCCCUUUCUGCUCCCACUUGGCCUGGUGCAAACCUCUCAGAAGAAGCACUUAUUUGUGGUUGACUUGGCGUAGAAAUCAGUGAAUAGUCUUUUGGGGAAUAAAGAAGUGAGGUGUCAGUGCGGGUGGGAGUGUGGGCUGUCCCCUAGCUGCGUGCUCAGAUCCCGGGAUUUCAAACUUUCAUCUUCUCACGGUGGGGGGGACUCCUGGGAGCCGGAAGCCAGUCUUCCUUGGCACCAGACUGUCCCCCGCCUUAGACUUAGGGCACAGAUUUGUUCGCUGACAACAGAAGCCACAUCUCCACAUAAACACCCUUGAAUGAGGGUGUGGGUGAUUUUCACUUUGCUGAAAUAAUCUAGUUAAGGACCUCAGGCCCAAUCCCACUCUGCCACCUGUGAAUUGGGAACCCUGGGCUAGAGCUUUAACCUUGCUCAACCGCUCUCCUCACCUCAGUGGGAGGAUUUCUCUGCUGGGCAGGUUUGCAACAUGCCUUUUGAAUCUGAGGAGAAAUAGCCUUUAUCCUCUUUUAGGAAUCGCCUUCAGAAUCUGUGGCAAAUCCCUCUGGAGGUUCUAAGGAGGAUGGGUCCUUGUGACUCUUCUCUUGAUAAAGUCAAAGUCCAUUUAUAGCCAAUUAUUAAGUAAGACAGAGGACAAAUCAAUUAUUACUUUUUCUCUUUCUUUUCCUCUUCUUUUUCUUUUGUCCAUAAAGGAUGAGUUCAGCCCUGGGCAGUAGCUACAGUGCUACGGUAUGAGACCUGAAGUGCUGGUGGAGCCCCUGCUAUGGAUCCCACAGCCUCGCCAGGCACACGACCUUGCCUCCCAUUGUCAGGUUCUGCAGGACUCAUCCCAAACCCUGGUUACCGGGUCAAGGGUUUAGGUCACUUUACAUUUCAGCAAGCGUUCACAAGAGCAUCAUGAUGACAGUAGCAAUUGCUAUAGAUUUUCCCCUUCUCUUCACUGUUCUUUUUCUCUGAUUUUAUGCUUUUCUCCCAUGUUGGGAUGUCCAAAGUGCUAGAUCGUGUGAAGCUGGGGCCCUAAGGGAGUGACGUUAUUUAUAAAACAGUUCUUCCAAAAGAUCAAUAGUAUCUAUAAAACACAAGAAAAAGUGAUACUCCCCCCCAUGGUUGAAAAGAGCUUCAUUCAGGGCACAGCUCAAAAAUAUGGACAUGUAUUGGUAAUAUGCUCGCUCUUUUCCUUUAAAACUCCCAAAUCUGGAGUAUUCAAAAAAAGACCCACUGAUUAUAGGGUUAAAACCUUGUGGCCAUCAGAUGAGCUUAUUGGAUGUCUGUAUAGUGGGUAAAAAUGGGGCUGGGUUUAAAAUUUCAUAAAUCCUCACCUGUGUGUGAAGAGCAUUCCUGCCUCUCAAAAUGGUCUAGCCAUGCUCCCCUUCUGGACUGGGAGCCUGGCCACCACAGAACGCAGGGGUCAAGGGUGUUGGGGCACAUGCCAUGCCUGUGUUUGGCCAGCGUGCACCUGGACCCAGCUCUGUGAUGACAUUGGACUCUGUCACUCCCAGUUGGGAUGACUUCAUCUAAAAGACCAUUUUCAGCUGAAGGUUCUCCAUAUCUCUGAUUUUUUCACACGAGCAGUUCCAAAGAGGAAUCCUGGUUAUAUGCUGAGCAAAGACAAGGUUACUGAAAGGUGCUGAUAUGCCUACUUGGAUGGAAGCUGCGCUCACUGAGUAGUGUAUCCCCUGGCAUCAGGUGAUUACUAUAGUAAUUUCAUGACUAGGGUUUCAGGAAUGGAAUUAGAGAACAUGCCAGCUGCAUAAAUAAUAAGUAAAGAUCCCAAUGUUGAAUUUUUGUGGCCCACGCUUUGUGAACACAUUGAUGAAUUUUCAAAACCUUUGCUAAUAAACGAUUGCAUUUGCUCAGCCGG